UUCCCAGACUGCUGAAAGAAUGAACAGUCCAGAAAUAAAGCGCUCUGACAGCUCCCAGCACUUGUCAGUAACUGGGAUGAUAACUGUUAAUAGUCUUGUCUGGAUGACAGGCUUGAUGAAUCCAUUAAAAAAUAAUAAAAAACAAACAAAAAAACCAAAUACUUUGUCUUAAAGAUUAGCAAGUAAAAAUGAAAUGGACCAGAUGAUAUGUAAGAAUUAAGCUGGUGUCAAUGGCAUGCAACCUGUUCCUCAUUAAGCCAUAGAAUUAGCAGUGGAAAGUGUACUCACUUGGUUGCCUGUUGACAACCUCUGAAGUUCUACAACUUUAUAGUGUAGCCAUUUUCAGGACCUCAGGAUUAUCUAAUGUAUUCUCAACUUCAAUUGAUUUUUUUUUAUUUAAUAGCCAUAUUUUCUCAUGCUUUAAAGAAACAAUGCAGCUUGUAGAGCUAUUUAAAUGUUUGCAUCCAAGUCAUUCAUGUAUCGAAAACUACUCACUGAAAGGAAUCUGAUAUUUUUCUUACCUUCUUAGGAUCUUUCCCAGAAGACAUGCGUGACCUGGUUUUUGAUACAUUUCACUUUUGUUAAAUGUUUCAGAUGAUGAACUGCAAUUGCAUAGUGUGGGGAUUCUUUUGGCUCAUUGUGCUGCUCUUUCUUGGCUGGCCCAUAAGCAUAGCCUUGUGUGCCCUCCAUGGAUUCCUUUCUCCUCUUGUGAUUUUAAUAGGACUGGAUGAAUUAGGUGAAGUGCUACUGAAGGGUGCAUGUCUGGGGAGGCAGUGUGCUCAGAAUGUGCGUAAUGGCAAGGCCCUCUGUUAAGCAGUGAAGACAGUAAAACAAACAUUCACCUGCAUGUUACAAGAUUUUAAAGUUUACUCUGUAAAUCUUACAUUUUUUUCCAGUUCUAAAUAAUGUAUUUAUUUAUUUUAAGUUUUUGAGUGUGUAUUUCUCUUAUGGAUGUCUGGAAACUUUGGCAAUUCAGAAGUUUGUCACUGAUAAUUCAUAAUACAAGUUGUAGCUGUUGUUUUGAAAGUGGGUAAUGAUGCUGUACAUGGAGAAGGUAGAGAAGUAUGUAUUGCAAGAUUUGAACUGAGUGUCAAAAUCUGUUUAAAUGGUUGAAAAUACUGCCUAUGGGGUGGAAUGUCCCAAAUGGGUCUGACUAUGACACUUGAGAAGAGUGGAUUCUGAACUGGAAAUUUAUUUUUGUGAACACUUUAUUCUACAGUGCACACUGUUCAAUAGUGUGAAUAGAUGUGAAAUUCUGAUGUCUGUAUAGCAUGUAUCUUUUCAUUUUUUUAUGUUUCUGUUCUUUCUUUGCUUUAAAAAAGACAUAAUCUUUUGCACUAUGACAUCACUUUGUAUUAAUCUUCUGUGAACUGCAGGAUUUCAGUGGAACUACUUUGCUGAUGUGGGUUCACUGCACUGAUUUUCAAGUACAUUACAAUAAAGAACUUCUGUAAAAACA
rnacentral:lncRNA from 1 species